rnacentral:lncRNA from 1 species
AACACAGCAGAGCUCUAGAGAAACUGCCACUUCCCUUUAAAUUUUCAUGGCUAGCUUAAGGGUCUUUUCCUGUAUUUUUAACUUUUUUAGAUGAUACCUUUCUCAUAUAUCCUUUCUAAGAGGAAAAAUAAUAGUUCACAUUUCCCACAUUCACUGUUCCAGAGAUUCCCCAGAUGCAAGGGACAAAUCACCUUGAAAAUGGGAUUGUACAAGAAGAUACUAUACUACUAGUUGAAGACGGACAUUCCUGAUACUUACUGACUAUCAUCUCAGAUUGCUACUUCCUAGAGGAAGAACUCUCACUGCCUGCUCACAGCCAGCCAGUUGGAGGAAAGGCCCUAAUUAUCCUUGGAGUUCUGGCACUCAGACUGUAUUUCUUCUUUUGGCUCAAGACCAAACAAGAUGUGAAAGGAAAAAAAAAAAAAAAGAAGCAGGGCAAUAAUGCUGUUCUGUGUGGAACACAAUCAGAAAAUUUAUUUCUGCAAAAUACUGAUUUUAACUGUCUUCCAUUGAUCAGAAGUUGGGGAUUGUAUGUGAUGCUGACAUUUAUAUAUCAAAUCCUAUUAGCAUUCCAUGUUUUCUUGCUAUAACAAAGACUGUUUUGAAGGGGACAUACUCAUCUUCAGUUGCAAAUGGAUUUGUGUUACCAGAAUUUAAUGAUAAAUAUAUUUCACUGGAUGCAAUACAUUUACUCUGUAUUUCUUCACAUCCUCUAUCAGAGACAAAUUUUAUGUUUUGAAACCAGAAUUUAUCUUGUCUUCUCUCUCUCUCUCUCUCUUUUUUAAAAGAUUUGUUUUAUUGAGGAUUCCAAAAUGGGGGAAUAGGGAGGGAGCUUACUGCACUAGUAUAGGGAAAGUUUAAAAAAAGUGGAAAGAGUGCAAACUCGGGGAAGAGUUAGGGAGAAAACUGCAGAGGAAACUCCAUGCAAAUUAGAGGGACACUGUGGAUCUAUGUGGAGGGUGUGCAUGUGCACAACUCAGGAUCCCAGCAGCUGGGAACAUAAGCACCUGCUUUGGAGAGUGAGGUGAGACCAGACAGCAGUGGCCCAAGCCACUGGCGGUAAAACUGUGGGAAAAGCCUUGGCAUAAGUCUGACUUGGAGCCCUGUGGGGGACAGUAUACCUGCCAACCUAAAGGGAAAAAAAAGGAAGGGCAUGUUUCUCUCUCCAUGAUCACCCAGCAUCAGCGUCCUGUAACCAGCCAAGAGAGGGUGGUUGCCAUUUUGGAUAUACAUAGUAGCUGUGCCAGUUUGUGUCCUGCACCCUGCAACCAGGUGAGAAGAUACACUUGAGUCUGGCUGGGAGAACUGACAGGAAGCUCAGUGUUCAUUACUGCAGGAUCUUUGUGUGCUGGGACUGUGAAAACACUAUGGCUGUGUGGGAGGGCUCAGGGUGUGGCUGGGUCUUUGAGCAAUCAUA